GAUGAACGCUGGCGGCGUGCCUAAUACAUGCAAGUCGAACGCAGUGGGGACGGUUGAGUAACACGUGGGUAAUCUCCCAUCAGAGGGGAUAACACUUGGAAACAGGUGCUAAACCGAUACUGAUGGAUGGACCCGGGGUGCAUUUGCUAGUUGGUGAGGUAACGGCUCACCAAGGCCACGAUGCAUAGCCGACCUGAGGGGAUGAUGGGCAACACUGGGGCGGAGACGCGGCCCAAACUCCGACGGGAGGCAGCAGUAGGGAACCUUCGGGAAGGAGCGGAAGGGUGAACUGGCAACGCCGCGUGAGUGAGAAAGGGUUUCGGAUCGUAGAGCACUAUUGUUAGAGGAGCGGUAUCUAACCAAAAAGCAACGGCUAACUACGUGCCAGCCGCCGCGGUAAUAC
rnacentral:rRNA from 1 species